CCUACGGGAGGCAGCAGUGGGGAAUUUUGGACAAUGGGGGCAACCCUGAUCCAGCAAUGCCGCGUGAGUGAAGAAGGCCUUCGGGUUGUAAAGCUCUUUUGUCAGGGAAGAAACAGCAGCUCUAACACAGCUGUGAAUGACGGUACCUGAAGAAUAAGCACCGGCUAACUACGUGCCAGCAGCCGCGGUAAUACGUAGGGUGCAAGCGUUAAUCGGAAUUACUGGGCGUAAAGCGUGCGCAGGCGGUUAUAUAAGACAGGUGUGAAAUCCCCGGGCUUAACCUGGGAAUUGCAUCUGUGACUGUAUAGCUAGAGUGUGUCAGAGGGGGGUAGAAUUCCACGUGUAGCAGUGAAAUGCGUAGAUAUGUGGAGGAAUACCAAUGGCGAAGGCAGCCCCCUGGGAUAACACUGACGCUCAUGCACGAAAGCGUGGGGAGCAAACAGGAUUAGAUACCCUGGUAGUCCACGCCCUAAACGAUGCUGACUAGUUGUUCGGGAUUUUAUCCUGAGUAACGUAGCUAACGCGUGAAGUCAGCCGCCUGGGGAGUACGGUCGCAAGAUUAAAACUUAAAGAGUAGUAGGCGUGAGAGUAGCGACGAGACACAGGGAGGAG
rnacentral:rRNA from 1 species